GACGAACGCUGGCGGCGUGCUUAACACAUGCAAGUCGAACGGAAAGGCCUGCUUUCCCUUGUGGAUUGCGGGUACUCGAGUGGCGAACGGGUGAGUAACACGUGAGUGAUCUGCCCCCAACUUGGGUAUAAGCCUGGGAAACUGGGUCUAAUUCCCGAUAGGACUGCAGGGUGGUGCCUGUGGUGGAAAACGAUUUUCUAGUGGUUGGGGAUGAGCUCGCGGCCUAUCAGCUUGUUGGUGGGGUAAUGGCCUACCAAGGCGGCGACGGUAGCCGGCCUGAGAGGGUUGACGGCCACAUUGGGACUGAGAUACGGCCCAGACUCCUACGGGAGGCAGCAGUGGGGAAUAUUGCACAAUGGGCGGAAGCCUGAUGCAGCGACGCCGCGUGGGGGAUGACGGCCUUCGGGUUGUAAACUCCUUUCGACCGCGAGGAAGCCACCUGGUUGGAAGGGUGGUGACGGUAGUGGUAGAAGAAGCACCGGCUAACUACGUG
rnacentral:rRNA from 1 species